rnacentral:rRNA from 1 species
UACGGAGGGUGCAAGCGUUGCUCGGAAUUACUGGGCGUAAAGCGUACGCAGGCGGAUCGUUAAGUCGAGUGUGAAAGCCCGGGGCUCAACCCCGGAACUGCAUUCGAUACUGGCGAUCUUGAGUACGGGAGAGGGAAGUGGAAUUCCUGGUGUAGAGGUGAAAUUCGUAGAUAUCAGGAGGAACACCUGUGGCGAAAGCGGCUUCCUGGCCCGAUACUGACGCUCAUGUACGAAAGCGUGGGGAGCAAACAGG